rnacentral:rRNA from 1 species
UACGAAGGGGGCUAGCGUUGUUCGGAUUUACUGGGCGUAAAGCGCACGUAGGCGGACUAUUAGGUCAGGGGUGAAAUCCCGGGGCUCAACCCCGGAACUGCCUUUGAUACUGGUAGUCUUGAGUUCGAGAGAGGUGAGUGGAAUUCCGAGUGUAGAGGUGAAAUUCGUAGAUAUUCGGAGGAACACCAGUGGCGAAGGCGGCUCACUGGCUCGAUGCUGACGCUGAGGUGCGAAAGCGUGGGGAGCAAACAGG